rnacentral:tRNA from 1 species
GUCCCCGUAGCUCAGGGGUAGAGCGCCCGCCUUGUAAGCUGGAGGUCGCAGGUUCGAGUCCUGCCGGGGACU